rnacentral:piRNA from 1 species
UGGUACACCUAUAGACUUCAUCAGCAUCUG